AGGCCACAGAGAACGGACGUAAUAUGGAACCAAAGAAAUAACAGACCUGAAGUGAGGCAGGUUGACUUGGCUGGCUGUACUCCAUCUGUUAGCUUAGUUUGGAAGUCUCUGAGUCGCCCUCGCUGUUGUUAAGAAACAUAUUUGAGCUGUAUGGCACUCAUAUAAUUGCAGCUGCAAGUUGCAGGCAGUCAGAAAUCUUCAUUGUGUUAAUUGCUUCACCCCAAGGGAAGCUCUAAUUCUGGAAACAGUAUCAGAUUUUUUCCAGUAAAUGAAAAGUGAAAAUCCAGAUAGAUUACCUGAGUGCAGAAAGCAGUGCCCAUCUUUAUUCAGAGAUGAGAAUAAAUGAAGAGUCAUAUUUCUGAGCAGCAGGAGAAUAUUUUUUUUAGUGAACACAUGAAAGAAAAGAGAUUGACUCAUAGUCAGCGCUUUCCUAAUGUUCCCCUUGGUUUCUUUUCCCUUUCUCUGCAGGUUAACUCCAGCGUGUGUGCUGCCCUCUAUGCCUGGGGCUGCUCCCUCUGCCUGUCUUCAGAGAUGGAUCCCAUACCAAGUGGGGCAUUUCAGUCAGGUGUAGGAUUUCCCCCUGCUUUGGGGGAGCAGCAGGAAUUAUUAGACCGAUCUAAAUAAAGCUGAUGCAUGCUGAGGGCAGGAAUUGUUAAUUAUCAGUGGAGUUGAGCUCCUAGGAGUGCGAUGCAUGCCAAUGUUUGCUGCUUCAGAUUCAGAUUCAAACCCACUGAACACACACGUAACAGGUGUGUGCGAUAUACCAAACUGACUUGCUGAUCACUGGACUUGUUUACAUGGCAGUCAGCAUAUGGAGGGUUAACUACAGCUGCAAUAGGAAGGCAGUUUUGACUGUUCUGUCAAUACUCUUCAAAUAUAUGGGAAAAAAACACCCAAACUCCCAAGAUUUGAUUACAGCCCGCAAUUCCUGUCGGUCUGUGUGUUUUUUAUUAAGGGUUUGCUUGAUGAAACAGUUCAGAAAAGCUCUGUAGUAUUUCAUAAAGGAAAAAUCAAAUACUUUUCAGAUGGCUCUAUAAAGAAUUUUGGUAGAUUCAGACAUAAGUGAAGGUAUUUCACGAGCUCCAGGCGUGUUUUUGCACCUAAAGCUCUGAUGAGCAAAUAGAGGAAAUGAGCCUCCUUUUGUUUGCAAAAUAUAACCCCCCCCCCGAGUUCUUAACACCUUUUCCAUGCUGCUUGGACAGCUGAGCCUCCACACAGGUGUUUCUUGUCCUCUCGUGUUCCUCAGACCUCCAACAAAACCUCAGAGAAGAAAGAUGACAGUGUUACCUAAUGUGGGUGCAAACCAGAAUGUUCAGUUGGCCUAUCCAAAGUGUAGGGGAAUAAAGUAUAUUCACGUCGGUGACCUAUAGCAGAAAAAACAGAGAGAACCGUUACUGAUGUUUGGUUUCCAACUCAUGGCACGAGAGCUGCUCAGCACCAAAGGAACAGGAAACGCACAGUUUUAAAACUACAUUUUUAAUCACCAGGCUGCUGCAGGGACAUCGCCGACUGCUCCCAAAGCAGGGCUGUGCUUUUUUUGCUGACGUUUUGGGCCACGUGUUCUUCAUGCACAGCGCUGUGUCCGUGUGCCUAAGAAACGUGCCGAGGGUCCACGUGUGUGUGCGCACACGGGAAGGAUGCUCCGAGCAGUCCGUGUGAUGGGACAGGUGUGGGAGGUUGGGAUUUGCUUAUGGAGCCCAUCAGUCAGCUAUCAGAAAUGUUUUAACGUGGUUGAUAUUAAAGCAACUAUGAAAGUGGAGUAUUCUAAAUAUACGCUUGGAAUAAUAAACCAUUGGUAAUCUUCUGGAAGGAAAUGGCGUUCUGACAUUCAAAGCUUAUUUUUUCCCAGAUUUUAGACAGGAUUUGAGGUUUUUUCCAUUAUCCCCAGUAUGGCUAAAAAU
rnacentral:lncRNA from 1 species